rnacentral:rRNA from 1 species
UACGUAGGGUGCAAGCGUUGUCCGGAAUUAUUGGGCGUAAAGAGCUCGUAGGCGGUUUGUCGCGUCGAAUGUGAAAACCCGGGGCUCAACUCCGGGCCUGCAUUCGAUACGGGCAGACUAGAGUUCGGUAGGGGAGUCUGGAAUUCCUGGUGUAGCGGUGAAAUGCGCAGAUAUCAGGAGGAACACCGGUGGCGAAGGCGGGACUCUGGGCCGAUACUGACGCUGAGGAGCGAAAGCGUGGGGAGCAAACAGGAUUAGAAACCCU